AUUGAACGCUGGCGGCAGGCCUAACACAUGCAAGUCGAACGAGUGGCGGACGGGUGAGUAAGGUCUGGGAAACUGCCCGAUGGAGGGGGAUAACUACUGGAAACGGUAGCUAAUACCACGUACCAUAUAAUGUGCACCAAUGGGAUUAGCUUGUAGGUGAGGUAACGGCUCACCUAGGCGAAGAUCCCUAGCUGGUGUGAGAGGAGGACCAGCCACACUGGAACUGAGAAACGGUCCAGACUCCUACGGGAGGCAGCAGUGGGGAAUAUUGCACAAGGGGCGCAAGCCUGAUGCAGCCAUGCCGCGUGUAUGAAGAAGGCCUUCGGGUUGUAAAGUACUUUCAGCGGGGAGGCGUUACCCGCAGAAGAAGCACCGGCUAACUCCGUGCCAGCAGCCGCGGUAAUUC
rnacentral:rRNA from 1 species